rnacentral:rRNA from 1 species
GAAUAUUGGACAAUGGGGGGAACCCUGAUCCAGCCAUGCCGCGUGUGUGAAGAAGGCCCUCGGGUUGUAAAGCACUUUCAGCGAGGAAGAACGCCUAGUGGUUAAUACCCAUUAGGAAAGACAACACUCGCAGAAGAAGCACCGGCUAACUCCGUGCCAGCAGCCGCGGUAAUACGGAGGGUGCAAGCGUUAAUCGGAAUUACUGGGCGUAAAGCGCGCGUAGGUGGCUUGAUAAGCCGGUUGUGAAAGCCCCGGGCUCAACCUGGGAACGGCAUCCGGAACUGUCAGGCUAGAGUGCAGGAGAGGAAGGUAGAAUUCCCGGUGUAGCGGUGAAAUGCGUAGGGAUCGGGAGGAAUACCAGUGGCGAAGGCGGCCUUCUGGACUAACACUGACACUGAGGUGCGAAAGCGUGGGUAGCAAACAGGA